CAGUAACUCCCCAUUCCUACUCCCGACCACGGACAACUGCUCACCUACUUUCUGUUUCUACAAAUGGGUCUCUUUUGGACUUUUUGUUGAUGUGGAGCAUCUUUUCCCGGGCUUACAGGACACGCGUGGGUCUUCUUGAGACAAACCACACGAAAGGAAUGCAUUUGUCGCUGCUGGAUGCCCUUUGAUUUAGCUGAUCCAGGAGCCCACCAAAGGGAAGAAGAUACUCUGCAUUCAGAAUGGAAUCACUGUUGACAUCCAGGACCUUCUCGUCCUCCCAAAGGGCAGGAACUCAAAGAGGGAGUGUGGGAGUGAGUCUGUAUGUUCAUCAGAGGGUAGAAAAUACUUUAUACAAUGUAUCACAUGAAGUCUGGGCAUUAAGUCCUUCCUUCAAAGUUUCAAAACAUUCACUUUCAUGUAUUGGUUUCCUUGUUGCCACUUGUUCCACAUUGGCACAAAUGGCAACACUGUAACACUGACCCCUCCCCCCCAACCAUGAGCCUUGGCACUUAGUAAAAGUAUGAAGACUCCUUCAGGAAUAGUGCUUUCAAGCCAUAUGAGGCAUAAGAACCAAUUAAGGAACUUGGGGAAAAUGGGGUGCUCCUGGAGAUGCCCACAGUGGGAAAUGCUGUCCCGUUGAUGUGACCACAUCCUGCUGACUUUGGGUGGGAGCUGGUCCCAGGCCUGAGUGUCCUACCCAGCAGCGCUGAGCUGAAUGUGACCCUCUUAAGUACAGCUGUGUACUUGACGGCGUAGUGUUACGUGAAUAGACGUGCACAGGCCAGAAUGGAAUGAAGCAAAGCGAACCAAGAAAGGCUAGGAUAAUUGCCUCCUAAUCAAUGACACAUUUGUAAGGAAUCCAGAUCUUUCUACAACUUGGCAGGGAAGAGCUUCAUUCUGAGGUAAAUCCAGAAACGGGCUCCUCUAAUCGUAACAGUUAACACUUUGCAGUCUCUAGAAUAUUAAUGGGUGAUGCAGAGUACGUGUUCCUGCAUCUGGCUUAUUUGAUCACACUUAAAAAUGUUUAAGAGUUAAGUCUAUCCUGAGGCACUCUUACAAAAUGCGGAUCAUGGAGUGGUCCUCGGACACAUUCAGCAACUGCCUGUCGUGCCAGGAUCCGUCCUCAGAGCAGGUAUGAUCUCAUGAAUCCUUGAGGUUUCCCUAAGCACUUGAUUUCUAUGGUUAUCCCCAUUUUACAGUUGGGAAAACAGAGACCUGGAAUGGCAAAGUAAUGGCGCCCACAGCUAUUUGCAGCUCAGCUGCUUUCCCCACCUUAUUUUGACUCGUGCUUACAAGGCUCUGGCCAAGCAGAACUCUCCUCUCUUCCUGGAGAGCAUGAUUUCUUGCCUCUGGGCCUUUGCUCUACUGAAUUUCCAUUCCCUUUGGCUCUGUUAAAUACCACUGCCUUCAAUAUUGUUGCCCUCCAACUGGAGGAUUUCUGGUUCGUGAGGAUCACUGCUGUCCCUUGAUGGGGAGGCUCUUCUAGACUCUGUGUCUUUGUUGGGUCUUCUCAGGAGCAGAAGCAGCAGGACCCACGCCCAUCCCUCCCUGAACUGCCCGCUGCCCCCUGCCCUGCCCCGCACAUUCUAAACACUGGGAUUUAUUUAUAGAGUAAAUGUCU